AGGGGGCGCCGAGCCUAGGGAGCCGGGGGAGGGGCGGAGGCGACAGAACGCCUGACCUGGCUGGCGACCCACACCCAUCCUGCCACAGAGCACCCUCUCGCGCCCCCAGUUACACACACACACACACCCUGGAGUAGGGGAGGGAACCUUGGCACGGAGAACCUGUCUCGCGCCGCCACCGCUGAGGGAGGGGCGCGCCAGCUCCUGGGUCAGCGCGCCCCCAAAAUGAGCCGGGAAAGUGCUUUGCUUCUCUGGCGCUCCUCACUCCUCCCUCCACGUUAAAUAAGUUUUUGCUCCGCAGUUGUGUGUAACUGACCUUAAACUUUCCCCGACCCUAUUUCGGGAUGCUAGAGUUCAGGUCGUAGUGGCCUUUGGGGAUCCGGGCUCCUAGGACUUGGGAAAGAAGGGGCCUGGAUGUCCAACUCCCUACCUCUCCCCAGUUCUUAAAAUAUAUACUAAAUUCCUGAGAAGUUUCGGGAAGUUUUCGAGGAUACUCUCUAGCCAACCUUAGGGAACUUUUAACCCUGGAGUUGUCAAGUAAGGCAAGGUUAGGCUGUGCGAUGCGCAGGAUGGAAGAGGGGUUCCCUUCCAGUCGUGUCCUAGGGCGCACGUUCAGUUUUGUUGUCAUGUUUACUCAGAGCUUUUCCUGGGCAUCAGGCGUGACCCCAGAAGGCUGCGGAGAGAGCAUUUAACUAAGCAGAAGGAGUUGUCUUGUGGGAUUGGAUUUUUACACACACACCCCCGAGCUCCCCUGCAGCAUUAGGAGGGCGCACUGACCUCGGCGCCCAUGCGACAGAGGAACCUGCUAAUAUUGAACGAAACCGUUUAUCUCAAGACUAUUUAGACCCCAAAAGCGACCAUUCCAAAAACGAGCCGUACUCCUCACCCUUGGAGAGGGCUGGCCCUGGGGCGCGGCCGGUCCCGAGGGCUGAUUUAUUUGGGCCGCGCCACGCCACUAGACGCGAUUCGAAUCCAACCAGAACACAAGAGCCAAUUGGGCAGGGGGCGGGGGCUCUGCUGCCAAAACGGAAGGGGUGUUUGGGGACUUUGUGGUGCGCUGCUUCCGGAGGAGCGGCGAGACCCAGGCAAAGACUUGCGUCACCUUUACCCCCGCAAAAUCAAGUGCCUUAUAUUGUCAUUUCAUUGUCGUUCCAGCGCCUUUUCAGAAAGAAAAAGAGAGAAAGAAAAAAAAAAGAGAGAAAAGAAAACAUGGUUCUAACUAAAGAUUUUUUUUAAACCGGUUUUAUGGGGCCUCUCGCUUAUGCCAUAAUCCAUUUUGUCCCUGGGACGCUUUUCGUCCAAAGACACAGGGUCACCUUGGCGCGCCCCCAACCCCCAGCGUCAGGCGCCAGUCGCCGGGUCCGGACGGCUUGUCCCCCUACUCUCAGCGACCUUCAGUCUAGCGCAGGCCAGAGUCCCCACAGGCAAAGAGUUCUCUUUUCCUUCGUUGCUCCCUUCUUACCUCCCUUCCUUCCUUCUGAUCUUAUUCUUUCUUCUCUCUCCCUCUCUUCCUUCCUUUUGUUUCUUUCCUCUUUUCCUUCCCUCCUUUUAUUUUUAAUUCUCAAAAAAAAAAAAAUCCAACAUAUUCUAGAAAUGUCAGGUGGUGGCGGAAGCGCGAAGGUCGCCCCAACUCCCUGUCCCGGCUCUCCGCCCCCCCCCCUUCCCCGCGUGUGGCUUGGGGUAAAGACCACGCAGAUCCAACGCCGAGGUCCCCAAGGCGGUGGGAAUCACGUCCCAGGGUGCGCGGGACCCGGCGGCCCCUCUCCCGGCGCUGCCCGGGGCCGACCCCGCGCGCCGCCGGCGGCCGCCAGCACGGCGCGGAGGUGGGCUCACUGCAGCGGCGCACGAAAGGUCACCGCGGUGGCAUUCCUCUCCGCGCGCUGUUUACGUGACUUAAUGUACUUCAUACGCCGCGGCUUGUUAUCUAGGCCACCCAAUGACCGACGAAAGAUCUUCCCUCCCUGCUUCUCCCGUGGCCGCUUAAACCAAAUAAAUUUAGCUAUUAAGGGCCAAGAUGUCUGACAAAAGAUCGAAAGGUGUCUUUCUGUGAUCGCUUAAAGAAGCGAAGGAGAAGCUUGCAGCUCUCAAAGUCCGAUAAAGAAAUUCCACACCGGCGCCGGCCUCCCUCCCCGCGGCCUGCUUGAGUCCAGAGACCCUGCGAUCCCGACUUCGGCGACCGCAGAGCUCGGCUAUGUUGCAAAUAUGCAGAGAAUUAGGACUGAAGACUUGUCUACCAUUAUAAAGGCCCCCAGCUUCCUGCCACUUGCCUGACAUUCACUGAGUAUGCAUUGCAUGAAGAAAAAAAAUAAGAGUCCCUGGCCAUCUCUUCCCUGGACUAUGCAGGCCUCCCAGAAAGCAGAGAUUUGAGUGCAGGAUCCUGAUGUUGGAGCAGCAAGUAAAUCUACCUGGCAUUCAGACUUGACUGAUGAGUCAUCACCUCUACUUUGGAAGUCCCUCUCUCUAUCUCCUGAGGCCUGAUUCUCACCCCAAUCCUCCUCACUGUCCCACCUGUUCAUUCAUUUGUUCGUUCUUUCUUUUUCAUGUAGGGGUGAGGGUGCUGCAAUUUCAACCCAGGCACAUGUUAGGCAAAUGCUCAACCACUGAGCUACCUUCUGGGCCCUUCUUUUCUUUUCUUUUCUUUUUUUUUUUUUUUCCUUAUUUUAUUUUGAGACAGGUUCUCACUGAGUGGAGUUGCUGAAGCUGGCCUCCAACUUGCAAUCCUCCUACCUAAGCCUCCUGAGCUGCUGAGAUUACAGGCGUACACCACCAUGCCUGACUCUGUUUCUCAAACUGUGGGAUAGAAUUUAGAUGUGAUGGCAGGUACUGAAGCAGUCAUGUACUACGAGGGGACAACAGCCACAUGUUGCACCAAAUGACAGCAAAAUAGAGAGUUUCGGUCUCAGAGACCAUGGAGCUUUAGAAGAGGAUCACUUUGUCUCAGAUCAAAAUAAUUGUUAUCAAAACAAGUUGGAAGUCAUUUCUGUCUCAUGUAACAGCCUGAAACUAUAUUAAUAAAUAUGAAUAUAUAUAUGAGUCUA